rnacentral:rRNA from 1 species
CUCAGGAGGGGGAUAACGGCUGGAAACGGCCGCUAAUACCCCAUAUGCCGAGAGGUGAAAUGAAUUUCGCCUGAGGAUGAGCUCGCGUCUGAUUAGCUAGUUGGUGGGGUAAGGGCCUACCAAGGCAUCGAUCAGUAGCUGGUCUGAGAGGAUGAUCAGCCACACUGGGACUGAGACACGGCCCAGACCCCUACGGGAGGCAGCAGUGGGGAAUUUUCCGCAAUGGGCGAAAGCCUGACGGAGCAACGCCGCGUGAGGGAUGAAGGCCUCUGGGCUGUAAACCUCUCUUCUCAAGGAAGAAGAACUGACGGUACUUGAGGAAUAAGCCACGGCUAAUUCCGUGCCAGCAGCCGCGGUAAUACGGGAGUGGCAAGCGUUAUCCGGAAUUAUUGGGCGUAAAGCGUCCGCAGGCGGUCUUGAAAGUCUGUUGUUAAAACGUGGAGCUCAACUCCAUUUCAGCAAUGGAAACUACAAGACUAGAGUGUGGUAGGGGCAGAGGGAAUUCCCGGUGUAGCGGUGAAAUGCGUAGAUAUCGGGAAGAACACCAGUGGCGAAGGCGCUCUGCUGGGCCAUAACUGACGCUCAUGGACGAAAGCCAGGGGAGCG